rnacentral:lncRNA from 1 species
CAUAAAGAUUCUAGGCCCAAAUCUGAUUACUAUGUUAGACUCUUUCAGAUUCCUAUGGCCUACAUUUUAGAAACCUCUGAUUCACCAAUUGUGAACAUUGUCUCAUAAUACAUUUCAAUAUGUAAUAUACAAUCAAUACUUAAAUUGUCCCAAUUUCCCCCUUUUCUAGGAUCUAUGAUAGGUUAUGAAUUUGCAAGAAUAUUUCUGAUUUGGUAGGAAAAUAAAGAAUUCAGUUUUGGUAGGUUAAGUUUGAGAUGCCUGAGACACAUCCCAGUGGAACUGGCACGUAAAAUAAAUUAGGGAGGCAUCACCUGUUAGACAAUAGUUUUUAAAACCAUGAGACUGAAUAUGGUCAACUUGAGAGAGUGAGUACAGUGAGAAGGAAAGAGACAAAAGGUCUAAGUUUUCAUGAAAAUUAAGAUUUAGAGGUUAGGCAUAGGAAGAGGAGCUAACAACACUGAGAUUGCUACACAGAGCAUAAAAUAAAAAUCCUAAGUGUGUAGUCUAUCAAGUAUAUCAAAAAAAGGGAAUGGUCCAGUGUAUCUAAUUAAAUUUUUAAAAUCCCUUGGAUUUGAAAAAAACUAACGUCAUUGAUGCACUUGGCAAAUGCAGUUUAGUGUGCUGGUUGAAGCAGAGACAAGGUUGGAGUGGAUUGAGUAGGAAUGGAGGGUGAAAGCCUAGAGACUGUGCAGAUAAUCAUACA